rnacentral:misc_RNA from 1 species
GAUGAAGAACGCAGCGAAAUGCGAUAAGUAAUGUGAAUUGCAGAAUUCAGUGAAUCAUCGAAUCUUUGAACGCACAUUGCGCCCUCUGGUAUUCCGGGGGGCAUGCCUGUUCGAGCGUCACUAUAACCACUCAAGCUCUCGCUUGGUAUUGGGGCUCGCGGUUCCGCGGCCCCUAAAAUCAGUGGCGGUGCCUGUCGGCUCUACGCGUAAUAAUACUCCUCGCGAUUGAGUCCGGUAGGUCUACUUGCCAGCAACCCCCAAUUUUUACAGGUUGACCUCGGAUCAGGUAGGGAUACCCGCUGAACUUAAGCAUAUCAAUAAGCGGAGGA